rnacentral:tmRNA from 1 species
GGGGGUGUACUGGUUUCGACGGGAUGGUUGAAAUCGGGAAAGCGGGCAGAGGGUCCCGUUGGCCUCUUUAAAAAACGGGAACAAACUUAAACGCCAAUAAACCGGCACUCGCAGCUGCGUAAACACGCCUGCCGUGGAACCAAUCGAUCUGCCGAAAGGAAUUUCCACGUUAACGCGCAGACCUUGUCCAGGGGAGGUUAAAGGGAAAAACGAAAUGGCCUAAGCUUUGCCGCCAUUUUGUAGAAUGAAGCUAGUGGACGCCUUGACCCUGCCGGUCGGGAAAGGCAAAUACGAAUAAUCCAAGGAUCGGAUGCGCCCGGAGAUGUCCCGAUGGACGCGGUUUCGGACAGGGGUUCAAUUCCCCUCACCUCCACCA